rnacentral:snRNA from 1 species
GUGCACACUUAGGCAGCACAUAUACUAAAAUUGGAACAAUACAGAGAUUAGCAUGGCCCCUGCGCGGAGGACACGCAAAGUCGUGAAGCAUUCCAUAUUUUU